GUUAUAUGGUCAAGUGAAGAAGCGCAUACGGUGGAUGCCUUGGCAGUCAGAGGCGAUGAAAGACGUUGUAGCCUGCGAUAAGCUUUGGGGAGUCGGCAAACAGACUGUGAUCCAGAGAUCUCUGAAUGGGGGAACCCACCUAGCAUAAGCUGGGUAUCAUGCACUGAAUACAUAGGUGCAUGAGGCGAACCAGUGGAACUGAAACAUCUAAGUACCCUGAGGAAAAGAAAUCAACCGAGAUUCCCUUAGUAGUGGCGAGCGAACGGGGACUAGCCCUUAAGUUGAUUUGAGAUUAGUGGAAGGCUCUGGAAAGUGCCGCCGUAGUGGGUGAUAGCCCCGUACACGAAAAUCUCUUGUCAAUGAAAUCGAGUAGGACGGAGCACGAGAAACUUUGUCUGAAUAUGGGGGGACCAUCCUCCAAGGCUAAAUACUACUGACUGACCGAUAGUGAACCAGUACCGUGAGGGAAAGGCGAAAAGAACCCCGGAGAGGGGAGUGAAAUAGAACCUGAAACCGUAUGCGUACAAGCAGUGGGAGCCUACUUUGUUGGGUGACUGCGUACCUUUUGUAUAAUGGGUCAGCGACUUAUAUUCAGUGGCGAGCUUAACCGAAUAGGGGAGGCGUAGCGAAAGCGAGUCUUAAUAGGGCGUUUAGUCGCUGGGUAUAGACCCGAAACCGGGCGAUCUAUCCAUGGGCAGGUUGAAGGUUAGGUAACACUGACUGGAGGACCGAACCGACUACCGUUGAAAAGUUAGCGGAUGACCUGUGGAUCGGAGUGAAAGGCUAAUCAAGCUCGGAGAUAGCUGGUUCUCCUCGAAAGCUAUUUAGGUAGCGCCUCGUGUAUCACUGCUGGGGGUAGAGCACUGUUUCGGCUAGGGGGUCAUCCCGACUUACCAAACCGAUGCAAACUCCGAAUACCAGCAAGUGUCAGCACGGGAGACACACGGCGGGUGCUAACGUCCGUCGUGAAAAGGGAAACAACCCAGACCGUCAGCUAAGGUCCCAAACGUUAUGGUUGAGUGGGAAACGAUGUGGGAAGGCUUAGACAGCUAGGAGGUUGGCUUAGAAGCAGCCACCCUUUAAAGAAAGCGUAAUAGCUCACUAGUCGAGUCGGCCUGCGCGGAAGAUGUAACGGGGCUCAAACCAUACACCGAAGCUACGGGUUCAACGUAAGUUGAGCGGUAGAGGAGCGUUCUGUAAGCCUGUGAAGGUGAGUUGAGAAGCUUGCUGGAGGUAUCAGAAGUGCGAAUGCUGACAUGAGUAACGACAAUGCGAGUGAAAAACUCGCACGCCGAAAGACCAAGGUUUCCUGCGCAACGUUAAUCGACGCAGGGUGAGUCGGCCCCUAAGGCGAGGCAGAAAUGCGUAGUCGAUGGGAAACGGGUUCAUAUUCCCGUACUUCUAAUUACUGCGAUGGAGGGACGGAGAAGGCUAGGCCAGCACGGCGUUGGUUGUCCGUGUUUAAGGUGGUAGGCUG
rnacentral:rRNA from 2 species